CUUUCGAGAGUGGCGUUCAGUUGCUCUUGGUCAGUCGUUGUGUGCGGAGCGCCCCAGAGCAGUAGCCCCCCAGAGAGUCUUUGUCGCUGACGCUGUCGCUGUCGCUGUCUCCGUGUGUCAGUCUCCGUCUGCGUCUCCGUCUCCGUCGUCCGUCGGAAUCUCAUUCUGAAUCUCAAUCGCAUAGGAAAUAGUGCGAGAGCAGGAAGAGUUUUUGUUCGUUGCGCUCUUAGCCGUAAAUUUAUCAAACAAACGAACAAACAAAAAAAAAAGGAGAAUCGAGGCGACAACCGUGCGACGGAUUUCCGCGCCAAAGACAUCAUCAUCAAAACCAAACUCAAACGCAAACUGAAACCAAAACUCCAAGAAGUACUCUGAGAAGCUUCACUACCAGCAGCAACAGGAAGCGGGCUAAGGAAAUCACCAGCAUCCUUGCCAAUUGUGCAGCAGAGUGCUGGCUGCAGGCCAAGCUCUGAGAGGAGUGGCAGCAACAGCAGCAUCCAGUGGCAACUUGUUUUGUAUAUCCAUAAGCGGCAAACAACAAACAGAACGAGUGCCUUCCUGGCAAUCACCUGGCGCCGGUCUGCCAGCCCGACCCUUCGUUACCCCCAUCU
rnacentral:sRNA from 1 species